rnacentral:rRNA from 1 species
CGAAAGCCUGACGGAGCCAGACCGCGUGGGGGAGGAAGGCCCUUGGGUUGUAAACCCCUUUUCUCAGGGAAGAAACCUGACGGUACCUGAGGAAAAAGCCUCGGCUAACUCCGUGCCAGCAGCCGCAGUAAUACGGAGGAGGCAAGCGUUAUCCGGAAUUAUUGGGCGUAAAGCGUCCGCAGGGGGCACAUCAAGUCUGCUGUUAAAGGCUGGAGCUUAACUCCGGUAGAGCAGUGGAAACUGGUGUGCUAGAGGGCGACAGGGGUAGAGGGAAUUCCCAGUGUAGCGGUGAAAUGCGUAGAGAUUGGGAAGAACACCGGUGGCGAAAGCGCUCUACUGGGCCGCGCCUGACCCUGAGGGACGAAAGCCAGGGGAGCG